rnacentral:rRNA from 1 species
UGGGGAAUAUUGCACAAUGGGGGAAACCCUGAUGCAGCAACGCCGCGUGAGUGAUGACGGCCUUCGGGUUGUAAAGCCCUGUCUUCAGGGACGAUAAUGACGGUACCUGAGGAGGAAGCCACGGCUAACUACGUGCCAGCAGCCGCGGUAAUACGUAGGUGGCAAGCGUUGUCCGGAUUUACUGGGCGUAAAGGGAGCGUAGGCGGACUUUUAAGUGAGAUGUGAAAUACCCGGGCUCAACCUGGGUGCUGCAUUUCAAACUGGAAGUCUAGAGUGCAGGAGAGGAGAGUGGAAUUCCUAGUGUAGCGGUGAAAUGCGUAGAGAUUAGGAAGAACACCAGUGGCGAAGGCGACUCUCUGGACUGUAACUGACGCUGAGGCUCGAAAGCGUGGGGAGCAAACA